AGCUGGUGCAGAGCGGAGCAGGUCACAGGGAAAUUCUGGCAAGGUCAUCACAGGGAUCAGCCUGAUGAUUUGACUGUGGCUGCUGUGGGAGACACCAGUUGCUCAACUGCUGAGAGUGACACAGCGGUUCAGCUAUGAUGAUUCAUGCAGCCUCCUGGAUGAAACAGUGAAGAUCAAAAGGUGGAUAACAAGAGAAGGAACUGACAGAUGGACAUCUGCAGAAAGCUGAUUAAUGCUUCUGGUACAUCUCUUCUGGUACUUUCCAGAAAGGCAAGGGCCAGUUCACCUAUUCAACAAAACUUCGGAAAACAGAUGUUGGUAAUUUUUACCCACCCCAUCUUUUUGUUGCUGCCCCAUUGGCUGGUAUUUGUGUAUGUAUGUGAUUGGUUGUGUUUUGCAUUUUUAAAUUUUGUUCUUUGUAAUGUGUUUUAACAUUUCGCUGCAAGCUGAAAAGCUAAUAAAGUUGUUCUUUAUAUUA